rnacentral:rRNA from 1 species
UGGGGAAUCUUGCACAAUGGGCGAAAGCCUGAUGCAGCGACGCCGCGUGCGGGAUGAAGGCCUUCGGGUUGUAAACCGCUUUCAGCAGGGACGAGGCCGCAAGGUGACGGUACCUGCAGAAGAAGCCCCGGCUAACUACGUGCCAGCAGCCGCGGUAAUACGUAGGGGGCAAGCGUUAUCCGGAUUCAUUGGGCGUAAAGCGCGCGUAGGCGGUUUGUUAGGUCAGGAGUUAAAUCUGGGGGCUCAACCCCUAUCCGCUCCUGAUACCGGCAGGCUUGAGUCUGGUAGGGGAAGGCGGAAUUCCAAGUGUAGCGGUGAAAUGCGUAGAGAUUAGGAAGAACACCGGUGGCGAAGGCGACUUUCUGGACGACAACUGACGCUUAGGCGCGAAAGCGUGGGGAGCAAACAGG